GGCCGGUUGGCCCAAUGGUAAGGCGUCUGACUACGAUUGGCUGCUCUCCUCAGGUGAGCAGCUGGUAAUCAGGAGAUUCUGGGUUCGAGCCCCAGGCUGGUCA
rnacentral:tRNA from 2 species